rnacentral:rRNA from 1 species
GAGUUUGAUCGUGGCUCAGAUUGAACGCUGGCGGCAGGCCUAACACAUGCAAGUCGAGCGGAUGACGGGAGCUUGCUCCUUGAUUCAGCGGCGGACGGGUGAGUAAUGCCUGGGAAUCUGCCUGGUAGUGGGGGACAACGUUUCGAAAGGAACGCUAAAUACCGCAUACGUCCUACGGGAGAAAGCAGGGGACCUUCGGGCCUUGCGCUAUCAGAUGAGCCUAGGUCGGAUUAGCUAGUUGGUGGGGUAAAUGG